GGGCCGGUAGGUGGCGCCCAAGACCCAGAACCCCUCACAGGCCGUGUCCCAAUCAGAAGAGGCUGUGCCCCAGUUUUCUCAGGGGAUGAGGCCAUGAGGGGGCUUCAGGCCCUUUCCUCCUACCUCCUUGCCUAUCCUUGUCCCCUCCCCCUUGCCCCUCUGAGAUGCUAGGUCUUCCCAGGAGCAUGCGGGUCAGAACUGGCUAGAGUCCUCCCCCUCCUGCCCCUUCCCUCCCCUCCCCUCUUCUCUCGCCCAGGUUCUUCUUCCUGCCGACUAAAUUUAGAGGUGAGGAUGUGACCGCCUGCACGCACCCGUGGCGGGCGGGGAGGCAGGGUCAGCGCCGAUGCCGCCGGAUGUCUGGCAGCCGAGCGCGGACGGGACGCUGCGUCAGCCUCCCCUCCCCACUCCAAGAAACCAAAGGAACGCCACACACAGCCCAUGGAGGGCCAAGAAAUGAGUCUGCCCUGGCACCCUUAUCAGCCCACCAGAGUGGACACACCGGACACACCCAUAUGUCCAACUGAAAGGAAAAGAGAAGACAUAUCCAGGAACACCUGCCAUGUGCCACAGGUUCAAGAGAAACUGCCUUAUUGAGGAAGAAUAAUUUAAAUGGUCCUCAGUGCCUGCUUGUCCUUUUCUCGCCUUGGGGAAAGAAAUAAAUAAAUAACAUCCGCUCCUUGAUCUGUAUGCACAGGAGAAACAGGACACUCUGUACUUUUCUUGCAGAUAAAAGAGAGAAGAAAAAGUGCUGGCUCUGCCAGGCAGAGAAGAGGAGGGGGGAGGCACAGGAGAAUAGACAUUUGCUUUCUUGCUCUGGCUUCCAUGGCAAAAUGGGGAUGGGAGCCUGGUGCCUCCUGCUCAGCGCCUAUGCCAGGGCUCCCAUGUCCCCAAAGAGGCCAAUCCCUAAAAAUUCAAGAAAUCAGGCCAGUCAGAGAAUGAGUGUUCCCCACCUCACUCAAGAUACUCCACUGCCUCCUACCACCGCUUCUCCAACCCACAGGCCGUGGCCUCCCCCUGCUGGCCAGGGCUAGUACCACUCCAACCAGGCCUGUCCAAGAAGCUGAACGGAAGGAGGAAGGCAGCAGAGGAAGAUCUGAAACAAAGGAAGAAUAGACCUGUCUUAUGACAGUAUGGCCAAAUAUGGACGGAUAAAGACUAGGAGGCCACUCUGGAGGCAGAGGCAGGAAGAUCGUGAAUUUGAGACCAGCCUGGGCUACAUAGUGAGACCUUGUCUCAAAAAUAAAUAAAGUAGGGGACCAGGUGAAACCAGGAUGAGCAUAACAGCCAAGCCUGGUGU